rnacentral:lncRNA from 1 species
UUGUAAACCCAAAAAACAAAAAUUAUUAAAAAAAAAUACCCAAACAAGAAAAGUUUUGGGCACUCUAUCUAGGAGCAUUGGUCGUUUUAAAUUAGUUUCAUAGCCCAUGAACAUUUCAACGAAUUGCAGUAACAUUCAUACAUACGUAACAAAUAAUCAAUUAAUAACAAACAAUACCACAGAAGCACGAGGGCAGAGACGCUUCCCAAACAAUUAUAAACAAAGAUGAAAUUGAUGAUGCAAC